UAUAUAUAUAUAUAUAUAUAUAUAUACACACACACACCCCUUAAAACAUAAAAUAAUUGUAAGCUAUUUUUUUUAUUACAUUUUAUAUAUUUUAUUAUUUUUAAUCCCCUAACACUUAAAGUUAGAUCUUUAAACAGAGUUGUUUUUUUUUUUUCUCAAUUGUGCCCUGUUUUUUUUUCUGGAGAUGUCGAAAAUAGUCGUUAUUUAUACAAAACACUUUCUUAUAUACAAGAGUCAUUAUUUGCAGAAAUUGUACUGACAGGAGGGGCCUGGGUAAAGCAGGAAAUCUGAUUGGUUGAGGAAAUUGGCCAAACAGGGUGGAUGGGGAUUGAUUCCUGACUCCACCCAAUAUCAACACAGCUUUUUUGUGAUUACUGGGAACUACAGGAUCCCUGAUUUCAACUGGCUAAACAGGCCUGCCCCACUGCAUAACAACUGCAUUUCUCAACAGAAGCAAUCACAUAUAGGAAAAUAAGACAAACCAAACAGGAGACCAUAAAUAUUAAAAUGAAAAGCUGGAAGUCAUAUCAGUCCAUUUUGAGUAUUUCCAAAGUGGUUAGACAGUUAUUAUUAAAAAAAAAAAGUGCAUGAAAUGUCUGAACAAGUAUGAAUACUGUAUGUCCACAGAGAGAUUGGCACAGUCUUAAUGAGACCUUCAUAUACAUACCUUUGUGGUUUUCUGUGCAACAAUGAGAGGAACACUUUAAGCUGAAUUGAAUUAAUUGUGUGGCAGCCUGGGAAAACCCUUCGCAUGGUCAAAUUGGGACAUUUUUGAAAAAUAAGUUGUGAAAAUAUUACCUGAACUGAAAUUGGUAUGGUAUUGCACAUAUCUUGACCACAAAUAAGUUUGGUUACCCCCACAAGUGAAACAUUUUGUAUUUAAACAUAUAAUUCCAAAUUCCAGUGCAUGACGCCCAACAUGUCUACAUUUAUAACCUUAUCUACAGCCGAAUUUUAAAGAACCCAAUAGUUUGCAAUAUUCACAUCUGUCUCAGCAUCAUUCACAUCUGUCUCUGUCUCUUUACCCGGGGUAAACGUCACUCAGCAUUUUAACACAAGCCUCAUUGUCUUCACUUCACACAACUGAUCUCUGUUCACACUAACAUUAGUGAGCAAAUUCAACCACUUCUAUUAUGUUGGUUUAAAUGUUUUUUUUUAAUUAAUACCUUUUUAUUAGUUUAUUUAAACAUUUUAGAGCAAUCUUCGUCUUUUGUCAUCUGUACAUAGUGUGUAAGCACACUUCUUUGUUUUAAUGAUGACAUGAAGGCACAAGUGCAGGACAGUUUGACAGCCAGUAUCUUAUUAUAAAUAGAACUGAUUAAGCUAAUGACCGUUUUGCUCUGGAACAUAACUAUCCAAUCUGAUCAAAGUCUGACAUUCAUUUUGUGCGAGAACCACACUUAACUAUAGCGAGGUUUUAGACAGACUGACUGUGUUUGUUUAACCGGCUCCCCAACCAACAAGAUCCAACCAGCCUGAUCUUUACAGGCAGACAGACAGCCAGGGCAAAAUUAUGCUAAAUUAAAAGACCUCCAUGUCAUUUUUGGUAAACUAUAUUCUCUUAAGUCAAAGCAUGUUAUUGGGAGAAAAACAAGAUUUUUUUUUUCCAUAAUUGUUUGUUGUUGGGUUUUCCCAGCCACCACACAUAUAUUCUGUGGUGGGAUUGGAGUAGACAAACAGUGUACACACCUUUAAGCAAACCCGAGGUUCAGCUUCACUCAAACAACAAUGUCUGGAUUGUAAUUUAAGUGAUCACUUCUUUACGAGUUAUCCUUAUGCGAGUUAUCAAAUUACGUUCUGAUUACAUCACUUCCAACAGCUUACUAUUUUCCUCAUCUUAUACUUUCAAAGUAUAUUUUAUACUCUAAUCCUACUUAAUAUCCCUUAAAGCAGCUGCAGAGUGGACCACAUAAUGUGUGUGUGUGUGUGUGUGUGUGUGUGUGUGUGUGUGUGUGUGUGUGUGUGUGUUUUGUUUGUUUUUACUGCAAGCAUUAUCUCUUGAGCCUUGGUAUCAGUUUACUAUUGUUGACGACUUAAUAAAAUGAACGAGGACUUAAUCGAAGUGUAAAUCUUGGCCAUAAUUAAAACAUUACAUUAUUUCCCCUUAUCUGAAUUCCACUUUUCAAUAAUGAUAACAAUUUUAAAACAAUUUGGUGUGUAGGGAAAAGGCUGCGUGCCACGACAGAAACAUGGUGAAUUUGGUCAAUACAUAAGUUAACAUAUCCGUUAAUUUUUCUAAUAGUCUACACACUGAACAAGUGUUGAAAGGCAGCAAUAAUGAUUUAUUUUGUAAAUAGAGCUCUGAAGAUGUUUUCAUCCUGGGGCUACGAUGUGAAAGUCCUCACCAGAUUAGUUUCAGUGGCAUAGUUUUGAUCCAUGCUCUAAGUAUAUUAAAUUGUGUGCAAUCAUGUCUGUUAUUGAUACUACCACUGGCCUUUAAGACACCUCUGUGAUAAUAAAUGACAUGUGGAUAUACUAAUGCACCUAAACAUCUGACUACAUAUUGGACUGCAGAUUUGAUUUUGAUUCUAAAUCAUUCUAGAUAAUCACCGAUCCCUUUCAUUUCGAUUCCUGAAUAGCAAACUUUCCGAGCAGCACUGGAGCUUCUAAUCACAAGUGACUCCAAAGUCGACCCCUCGCUAUCCUUAACACACGUGUAUUUCUGUUUGGUGUAACAUUUGUUACCCGUUUAUCUCUCCUUUUGUUCUGCUGCUCCUCCCACUGAGCGAUUGUCUUCAAAUCUUUUUUUUUUAUAUAUAUACAUAUAUAUAUUUAUUCAUUUCUUUAUUCAAUUAGAUAUGACAUAUUUCUGUUCUAAUCAAUUAUAUAUUCACUUUAUCUUUAAAUAGAAAUAUAUAUCUAUAUGUAUAUCUAUAUCUAUAUAUAUGUCUAUAUAUAUAUAUAGAUAGAUAUUUUGUGAAGAAACAUUGUAAUAUAUUUUCUUUUUUCUUUUCUGUAUUGCAGGAGCCCUGAUGUAGUGUUUUGUCCAUUGAAGUCAGUGAAUAGUUUGUUUUUUUUAGAAUAGAAUUUGUGAACGUUAAGUUGGGCGUGGCUUUGGGACUCAGGUAGGUAAAGGGGAGGGAUAAUUAAUUAGGUAAUGAUCUAAUUAAAGAGAUAAUUAAGGGUACUUUCACAUAUGGAGUGUUAGUCCAUGUGAAAUAAACCCUGGUGCGUUCCUCCCCCCCCGCAGCGUGGUUCGUUUAGGCAGUUGAGAACACAGCAGUCGCAAUUGUACCAAAACAAAAAGUCAGCGCGUGUCUGUGAGAUGCCGUUUACAAAUGCAGUUCCACUGCAGCGGGAGAGCGAUUUGACCCUGAACCGACCCAACUGCAGGAAGUGAACUGGACAUGCCGUGUAUUUUGGGUUGGGGGCAACGUUUUUUUUUGUAGAUGUGAGCUGCUAAACUGAGCUGUGAGGUGCAAAUUGAGCCAAAGGACAGAGCUGUAGAGCUGCAAUAAUAUAAUGAGUUCUGGAUGUUUGAUCCAAUGUAAACAUUUUAAAAAAUAAAUAAAUAAAAAGAGAAAAAUGUGAUCUGGAUGUGAUACACAAAAUGUUUUAAAACUAAUUAUUUUAUAUAAUUAUCUAAUCAUUUAUUUAGCACUUGCACCAUGUGUUUUUACAUGCACCCGGCAAUUCCACUGCUGUAUUUCAGACCAGUGAAUGAAAGAAUAUUGACCAGUACAUGUUCAGCUCUACAUGCCCAUCAGCCAAUGCUUUUUGUUUUGUUUUGUUUUUUGCUUUUUUUUUAUUUACUUUUUGGUUCAAUUCAUUUUGUGCAGUGUGAAAUGUGCCUUGUACAAGGUUUGGUUGGCGUUUAAAGGACACGAGAGAGAGAGAGAGAAGCAUUAUCAGUUCUUCCCAUGCAGUUUGCCUCCACCCUUCACUGCAUUCAUCCCUGUCCAUGUCUGCAGACGUGGGUGAAUACAGCUCUCUGGUGGAGGGACAAACCAGUACUAACUACGGAAAUGCUAAAUGGCAUCAACGGAUAUCUUGCCAUUACAUACACUUGCCAUUCUCUGUGUUUCUGACCCCUCAUCUUUCAAUUCCCCACACACUUAUGCUCUGUCCAUCCAUAAAAAGCUGUGAGAUGUUUACAGUGGGGUGGGGGGUUGAAUCAAGCACAGAAACAGACAUCAGUACAGAAACCAUCCUUACAUAGUCAUAGUUAAGGGUUUUAGAGCGUUGGGGGACAGGUGGCAGAGAAAAAACAUAUAUAUAUAUAUAUA
ensembl:lncRNA